rnacentral:misc_RNA from 1 species
UCCGGCUUAUCACCGGCGGUUCCUUUAGAGUGCCCAACUUAAUGAUGGCAACUAAAGGCGAGGGUUGCGCUCGUUGCGGGACUUAACCCAACAUCUCACGACACGAGCUGACGACAGCCAUGCAGCACCUGUCUCAAUGUUCCCGAAGGCACCAAUCCAUCUCUGGAAAGUUCAUUGGAUGUCAAGGCCUGGUAAGGUUCUUCGCGUUGCUUCGAAUUAAACCACAUGCUCCGCUGCUUGUGCGGGUCCCCGUCAAUUCCUUUGAGUUUUAGCCUUGCGGCCGUACUCCCCAGGCGGGGUGCUUAAUGCGUUAGCUGCGGCACGGAGGGAGUCGACACCCCCCACACCUAGCACCCAACGUUUACGGCUGGGACUAC